rnacentral:rRNA from 1 species
UGGGGAAUAUUGGACAAUGGGGGCAACCCUGAUCCAGCCAUGCCGCGUGGAUGAUGAAGGCCCUAGGGUUGUAAAGUCCUUUUAACGGGGAAGAUAAUGACGGUACCCGUAGAAUAAGCCCCGGCUAACUUCGUGCCAGCAGCCGCGGUAAUACGAAGGGGGCUAGCGUUGCUCGGAAUCACUGGGCGUAAAGCGCACGUAGGCGGAUUCCUAAGUCGGGGGUGAAAUCCUGGAGCUCAACUCCAGAACUGCCUUCGAUACUGGGAAUCUUGAGUCCGGAAGAGGUGAGUGGAACUGCGAGUGUAGAGGUGAAAUUCGUAGAUAUUCGCAAGAACACCAGUGGCGAAGGCGGCUCACUGGUCCGGUACUGACGCUGAGGUGCGAAAGCGUGGGGAGCAAACAGGAUUAGAUACCCGCGUAGUCC